rnacentral:tRNA from 2 species
GGCUUGCUGGUCUAGUGGUAUGAUUCUCGCUUCGGGUGCGAGAGGUCACGGGUUCGAUUCCCGUGCAAGCCC